rnacentral:lncRNA from 1 species
UAGCUGUUUUUAGGCUGUCAUGGCAACAACAGCCAGUGUGAAACUUCACAGAAAAAGAAGAACAGCCAGUAUGUGUGAGAAUUUCAUGGGAAGGACAUGGGGAGCUAAUAGUAGCUAGCUAAUAUGGCUAAUUGGCUAUUAUAUGUAUCAAGCUACUGGUAGGUUAGAUAGCUAGCCAGUAGCUAUCUGGCUAGCUGGCUAAGAAGAGGCACUACUGGCUAACAUUACUGGCUAACGUUAGCUAUGCUAGCCAACUGGUACUGGCUAGCAUAGCUAGCUAGCUACCUUCACAACAAGACACCAUCGUGGAACACCUUCUUGUAAUUUCACAUUUGGAAGGUGGAUAACUAACAAUUAGCUGGAUUACUAGCUUGCAUGGUUAUUUAUUUUCUAUCAGAUAGCUUGCAAACAAUGAUACACUAAAGUUACUCUAGAGGGGAUCACUAAUGGAGUUCCAGAUGUGGCUGCAGGAGAGUAGUGGCAGAGAACACUGCAGGGCAUUUUCUCUGAGCAAUGAUAUGAAAUGUAGGACAUGUACAAACUGGUGCGAACGUGGUGAAGGCCGCUCAAAUUAACAAAUGGACCCGACUGCAAUGUUUUGGACAUCGUCUGCACUUGGCCAAUGAGAGAGUAGGUAGAGACAAAUGGGUGGAUCGAGCAAUUGGAGUGUGUAAGAAAGUGGUAGGUGCCUUUUCCUAUUGGUGGAAAAAGAAGAGGGACCUGGCAGUUGUUCAAAAAGAACACAACCUACCCCAGGGCAAGUUGGUGACAGAGUCGCCUACAAGGUGGGGAUCACGUCAAAAGAUGGUGCAAAGAGUAAUGGAGCAGGAGAAAGCCAUUUCACAGGUCAUGUCCAGUGACAAGAAGACCCGGCACUUACCUCCCACCUAUACAGAUAUAGAUGUUCUUGAGUCCAUCAACCAGGCAUUGACCCCACUCCUAGUCUUAUGUCAGUGUGUCUUACCUGAAGCCAGUACUACACCUGUUCAAUACAGAGGUCAUGAAACCUGAUGAUGGUGAAACAGAGCUCACCCAAACCAUCAAAACGGUAGUCAUGGACUAUCUGAAUGAGAAAUAUGAUGACCUAGCCACAGAUGACCUCCUGGACACAGCAUCGUUAGUCGACCCUGGGUUAAAACACAUUACAUCAAAGAGGAGAAGGUGGGCCACAUAAAAGCAAGAGCUGUCUCAGAGAUGGUCAGUGACGGAGAUGAAAACCCAAGCCCAGCACAGGGAGACGUUGCUGCUGCUGCUUCACCACAAAUGCCAGCUAAAAAGAGAAAGUCACUGGGCAGUUUUUUCAAAAAACCAUGCUCCACCACCACAGGUCUUACUGAAAUCCAGCUGGUAGAAAAGGGAC